rnacentral:rRNA from 1 species
AUUGAACGCUGGCGGCAGGCUUAACACAUGCAAGUCGGGCGGGGGAAGGUAGCUUGCUACCGGACCUAGCGGCGGACGGGUGAGUAAUGCUUAGGAAUCUGCCUAUUAGUGGGGGACAACAUUUCGAAAGGAAUGCUAAUACCGCAUACGUCCUACGGGAGAAAGCAGGGGAUCUUCGGACCUUGCGCUAAUAGAUGAGCCUAAGUCGGAUUAGCUAGUUGGUGGGGUAAAGGCCUACCAAGGCGACGAUCUGUAGCGGGUCUGAGAGGAUGAUCCGCCACACUGGGACUGAGACACGGCCCAGACUCCUACGGGAGGCAGCAGUGGGGAAUAUUGGACAAUGGGCGCAAGCCUGAUCCAGCCAUGCCGCGUGUGUGAAGAAGGCCUUAUGGUUGUAAAGCACUUUAAGCGAGGAGGAGGCUACUUUAGAUAAUACCUAGAGAUAGUGGACGUUACUCGCAGAAUAAGCACCGGCUAACUCUGUGCCAGCCGCCGCCGUAA